rnacentral:rRNA from 1 species
AACGAACGCUGGCGGCAUGCCUAACACAUGCAAGUCGAACGAGACCUUCGGGUCUAGUGGCGCACGGGUGCGUAACGCGUGGGAACCUGCCUUUAGGUUCGGAAUAACUCAGAGAAAUUUGAGCUAAUACCGGAUGAUGUCUUCGGACCAAAGAUUUAUCGCCUUUAGAUGGGCCCGCGUUGGAUUAGCUAGUUGGUGGGGUAAAGGCCUACCAAGGCGACGAUCCAUAGCUGGUCUGAGAGGAUGAUCAGCCACACUGGGACUGAGACACGGCCCAGACUCUUACGGGAGGCAGCAGUGGGGAAUAUUGGACAAUGGGCGAAAGCCUGAUCCAGCAAUGCCGCGUGAGUGAUGAAGGCCUUAGGGUUGUAAAGCUCUUUUACCCGAGAUGAUAAUGACAGUAUCGGGAGAAUAAGCUCCGGCUAACUCCGUG